rnacentral:rRNA from 1 species
AUUGAACGCUGGCGGCAGGCCUAACACAUGCAAGUCGAGCGAGCGGCGGACGGGUGAGUAAUGUCUGGGAAACUGCCCGAUGGAGGGGGAUAACUACUGGAAACGGUAGCUAAUACCGCAUACCAUCGGAUGUGCCCAGAUGGGAUUAGCUUGUAGGUGAGGUAAAGGCCCACCAAGGCGACGAUCCGUAGCUGGUCUGAGAGGAUGACCAGCCACACUGGAACUGAGACACGGUCCAGACUCCUACGGGAGGCAGCAGUGGGGAAUAUUGGACAAUGGGCGCAAGCCUGACCCAGCCAUACCGCGUGGGUGAAGAAGGCCUUCGGAUUGUAAAGCCCUUUUGUUGGGAAAGCGGUACCCAAAGAAUAAGCACCGGCUAACUUCGUGCCAGCCGCCGCGGUAAUUC